rnacentral:sRNA from 1 species
UAGCAGACACUCUUGCCCUUACAUCUGCAGGAACAGAAGUGUGUCCCGGCCAGUGGAGAACUCUCCCCAGAGCUCCAGGAGUGGGCACCUUACUCGCCUGGGCAUUCCAGCCGGCACAGCAACCCCCCGCUAUACCCUAGCAGGCCGUCUGUGGGCACUGUUCCCCGGAGUUUGACCCCCAGCACCACUGUGAGCUCCAUCCUGCGGAACCCCAUCUACACUGUGCGCAGUCACAGGGUCGGCCCCUGCAGCUCUCCACCUGCGGCCCGAGAUGCUGGCCCCCAGGGUUUGCAUCCCAGUGUCCAGCACCAGGGACGCCUGAGCCUGGACCUGAGCCACAGGACCUGCAGCGACUACUCCGAGAUGAGAGCCACCCAUGGGUCCAACUCACUGCCCUCCAGCGCCCGCCUGGGUUCUUCGAGUAACUUGCAGUUCAAGGCGGAACGCAUUAAAAUCCCAUCAACACCAAGAUAUCCGCGGAGUGUCGUGGGCUCCGAGAGAGGUUCAGUGUCACAUUCUGAAUGCAGCACUCCUCCACAGUCACCCCUGAACAUCGACACCCUGUCCUCUUGUAGCCAGUCCCAGACCUCAGCCUCCACAUUGCCCAGAAUCGCUGUCAACCCCGCGUCCCUCGGGGAGCGGAGAAAGGACAGGCCUUAUGUGGAGGAGCCACGCCACGUGAAGGUGCAGAAGGGCUCAGAGCCGCUGGGCAUCUCCAUCGUGAGUGGAGAGAAGGGCGGCAUCUACGUCUCCAAGGUGACCGUGGGGAGCAUCGCUCACCAGGCUGGCCUCGAGUAUGGGGAUCAGUUACUGGAGUUCAACGGCAUAAACCUGCGGAGCGCCACGGAGCAGCAGGCGCGGCUCAUCAUCGGGCAGCAGUGUGAUACCAUCACCAUCCUGGCCCAGUACAACCCCCACGUGCACCAGCUCAGCAGCCACUCCCGGUCCAGCUCACACCUGGACCCUGCCGGUACCCACUCCACUCUCCAGGGCAGUGGCACCACCACCCCGGAGCAUCCAUCUGUCAUCGACCCACUGAUGGAGCAGGACGAGGGGCCUAGCACCCCCCCAGCCAAGCAGAGCAGCUCCAGGAUUGCGGGAGAUGCCAACAAGAAGACCCUGGAGCCACGCGUUGUCUUCAUCAAAAAGUCCCAGCUGGAGCUUGGGGUGCACUUGUGUGGUGGGAACCUGCAUGGGGUGUUUGUGGCCGAGGUGGAGGAUGACAGUCCUGCCAGGGGUCCUGACGGCCUCGUGCCAGGGGACCUCAUCCUGGAGUAUGGCAGCCUGGACGUGCGGAACAAGACAGUGGAGGAAGUCUAUGUGGAGAUGCUGAAGCCCAGGGAUGGCGUCCGCCUGAAGGUGCAGUACCGCCCUGAGGAGUUCACGAAGGCCAAGGGCCUGCCUGGUGACAGCUUCUACAUCAGGGCCCUGUACGACCGGCUGGCAGAUGUGGAGCAUGAGUUGAGCUUUAAGAAGGACGACAUCCUCUACGUGGAUGACACCUUGCCCCAGGGCACGUUCGGGUCCUGGAUGGCUUGGCAGCUGGACGAGAAUGCCCAGAAGAUCCAGCGCGGGCAGAUUCCCAGCAAAUAUGUGAUGGACCAAGAAUUCUCCAGGAGGCUCAGCAUGUCUGAAGUCAAAGAUGACAAUAGCGCCACAAAGACGCUGUCAGCAGCUGCACGCCGGUCCUUUUUUCGGAGGAAACACAAGCACAAACGCAGCGGGUCCAAGGACGGGAAAGACCUGCUCGCCUUGGAUGCCUUUUCCAGUGACUCCAUUCCACUCUUUGAAGAUUCGGUGAGCCUGGCCUAUCAGCGGGUCCAGAAGGUGGACUGCACCGCUCUGAGGCCUGUCCUGAUUCUGGGGCCUUUGCUGGACGUGGUGAAGGAGAUGCUGGUGAAUGAGGCUCCUGGCAAGUUCUGCAGAUGUCCCCUUGAGGUGAUGAAGGCCUCCCAGCAGGCCAUUGAGCGGGGUGUCAAAGAUUGCCUGUUUGUCGACUAUAAGCGGAGAAGCGGCCAUUUCGAUGUGACCACUGUGGCGUCAAUAAAGGAGAUCACAGAAAAGAACCGACACUGCCUCCUGGACAUUGCUCCGCACGCUAUUGAGCGGCUCCACCACAUGCACAUCUACCCCAUUGUCAUCUUCAUCCACUACAAGAGCGCCAAGCACAUCAAGGAGCAGAGAGACCCCAUCUACCUGAGGGACAAGGUGACUCAGAGGCAUUCCAAAGAGCAGUUUGAGGCGGCGCAGAAGCUUGAGCAGGAGUACAGCAGGUACUUCACAGGGGUCAUCCAGGGAGGAGCCCUGUCAAGCAUUUGCACUCAGAUCUUGGCAAUGGUCAAUCAAGAACAAAAUAAAGUCCUGUGGAUUCCAGCCUGCCCGCUCUAGGAGAAUGCUGUGCUGUGGAUGACUGCAGCUGGCCGCCUGAGGGGACGCCAGGCUCAGCUCUUUUCUAGCGACUGAAAGUAGAAGUCUGUCCGUCUAUGAACAUGCAGGGGAAGGAUCCGGAGCCAGGACCCAGAAGCACCUCCUUUGUAGACAGAGGGCCACGGCUGCAUGCGAUCCAGGCCCAGGCCCACACACUCUGCCCGUGUCACACGUGUGCUUUAACACAAAACAGAUAACACUAAAGACGGGUUCAGCACCCACCUUUCUUUAGCCAGCUGAUCAGAGAUGCUGCAAAGAGAACCUUUCGGAUCACUCGUUUACAAGCCUUUUCUAAGUAUUUGGUGGUUUAUGUUUACUUGAACGGCUCCAUGUUGCCGGUGCCCAGCCCCUGUCCCCUCUGUCAACCCCCUGUCGCUUUGGUGUUGGUUUCGUUCCCGUCUUCAGCAAAACGACCUUGGAACCUCAAUGGGGGCUGCUUUGCUUUGGGAGGUUCUUGUUGGUGGGACCAGAGCUUUGACAAACCUCCUGCUCCUUGGUGG